rnacentral:rRNA from 1 species
CCCUUAGAUGUUCUGGGCCGCACGCGUGCUACACUGAGUAAAUCAAUGGGUAAGGGAACACGAAAGUGCAACCUAAUCUUGAAAUUUGCUCGUGAUGGGGAUCGACGGUUGCAAUUUUCCGUCGUGAACGAGGAAUACCUUGUAGGCGCGUGUCAUCAUCACGCGCCGAAUACGUCCCUGCCCUUUGUACACACCGCCCGUCGCUCCUACCGAUUGAGUGAUCCGGUGAGGCUCUGGGACCUGGACGGAAAGAGCGUUUCGCUUGUUCUGUUUGGGAAACUUGGUCGAGCCUUAUCAUUUAGAGGAAGGAGAAGUCGUAACA